rfam:Wallemia sebi CBS 633.66 unplaced genomic scaffold WALSEscaffold_8, whole genome shotgun sequence.
GCCGUAGUGUACCAAUGGUAGGUGACUAGCCUCCUAAGCUAGGGGUUGCGGGUUCGAGUCCCGUCUACGGUA